rnacentral:rRNA from 1 species
UACGGGGGGAGCAAGCGUUGUUCGGAUUUACUGGGCGUAAAGGGCGCGUAGGCGGCCAGUGCAAGUCAGUUGUGAAAUCUCCGAGCUUAACUCGGAAAGGUCAACUGAUACUGCUCGGCUAGAGUGCGGAAGGGGCAACUGGAAUUCUUGGUGUAGCGGUGAAAUGCGUAGAGAUCAUGAGGAAGACCAGUGGCGAAGGCGGGUCUCUGGACAGUUCCUGACACUGAGACACGAAGGCCAGGGAGCAAACGGG